ACGCACGCUGGCGGCGUGCUUCACCCCUGCCAGUCGCACGGAAAGGCCCUGCUUUUGUGGGGUGCUCGAGUGGCGAACGGGGGAGUAACACGUGAGUAACCUGCCCUUGACUUUGGGAUAACUUCAGGAAACUGGGGCUAAUACCGGAUAGGAGCUCCUGCUGCAUGGUGGGGGUUGGAAAGUUUCGGCGGUUGGGGAUGGACUCGCGGCUUAUCAGCUUGUUGGUGGGGUAGUGGCUUACCAAGGCUUUGACGGGUAGCCGGCCUGAGAGGGUGACCGGCCACAUUGGGACUGAGAUACGGCCCAGACUCCUCCGGGAGGCAGCAGUGGGGAAUAUUGCACAAUGGGCGGAAGCCUGAUGCAGCAACGCCGCGUGCGGGAUGACGGCCUUCGGGUUGUAACCCGCUUUCGCCUGUGACGAAGCGUGAGUGACGGUAAUGGGUAAAGAAGCACCGGCUAACUACGUG
rnacentral:rRNA from 1 species